ensembl:lncRNA
GAUAAGCUUUAGAAGCGACCCCUGCUACCCUGAAGAGAAUGAUAUACCAAGAAUACAACAAUGGAAGCAGAUCUGCCUCCUGCCAAUCCAACCUAGUGCCUCAAAACUCACUGGACAGUGCUUCACCUUGCAGCAGGACAAUGAAACCCAACAACCUGCCAAAGACUAAGGAGUUUCUCAGGGCCAAACAGUGAAAUGUUUUUGACUGGCCAAGUCAAUCAUCCAACAUGAAUCCAGUUGAGAAUGUUUCACUUGCUGAAGUCAAGACUGAAGGCAAAAAUGACCCGAUAACAAAGAGGAAACGAAGAUGGCUGCAAUACAGGCCUGACAAAGCAUCACCGUGGAAGAUUCCCAGAAGUGGCAAACUUCAGACAGUCAUCAAAUCCUAAAUAUUUGCAACCAUGCAAUGAUGUGUAUGGGGCUGUGUGUUGAAUGCAGUGUUGUGUAUGCAGCUUUUUGUAUUGAAUGCAAUGUUGGGUGGGGGGCUGUGCGUAGAAUGCAAUGUUGUGUAUAGGUCUGUGUGUAGAAUGCAGUGUUGUGUAUGGGCUGUGUAUUGAAUGCAGUGUUGUGUAUGGGGCUGUGUGUAGAAUGCAAUGUUGUGUAUAGGUCUGUGUGUAGAAUGCAGUGUUGUGUAUGGGGCUGCGUGUUGAAUGCAGUGUUGUGUAUGGGGCUGUGUGUUGAAUGCAGUGUUGUGUGUGGGGCUGUGUGUAGAAUACAGUGUUGUGUAUGGGGCUGUGUGUAGAAUACAGUGUUGUGUGUGGGGCUGUGUGUUGAAUGCAGUGUUGUGUGUUUGGCUGUACGUAGAAUGCAGUGUUGUGUGGGGCUAUACGUAGAAUGCAGUGUUGUGUGUUUGGCUGUGAGUACAAUGCAGUGUUGUGUGUUUAGCUGUGUGUAGAAUGCAGCAUUGUAUGUUUGGUUGUGCUUAGAAUGACUUCAGCUUGCCUUUUCAGACCCUGGAGCUGGCAUCUUCAGAGACUAGUCAGAUGACUGCCUCUGCUGCUAGGCAACAGCAACAUCAUCAAGGUUUACUCACAAGACAUGAUUUAACAAAGCAAUUAGGAAAAGUCAAGGAUGUUCAUCUGCUGCCCCACCCAAGGAUUGCAGAGUUUUGAAACCAUCGCAGAGAGGAAAGUCCAUUGACUGAUGUCUGUGCAGGUCACUGUUGCCUGCCUUUCUGUCCACGGGGAGAAGAGGAAUGAUGGCAUCCUACAGAUUCAAGUCUCUCACUGGGAUGCGUUAGGUGGUAGUGGAGUAAUUUCUGCUAAUUCGCCAUGCCCUUAAUGUGGCUAAAAGUGAGUUAAAGGAUAAUGCCUUGACUUCAGCCAUGUACUGUGGAUCAGUGGUCCAUGGGGGCCUACCUGGAACAGAAGAUUUGAUGGUGUGUUCUGCUGUUCAGGGCCAGACUAGAUGGAUGAAGGUACGUUUGUUU